rnacentral:rRNA from 1 species
GACAGAGGAUGCAAGCGUUAUCCGGAAUGAUUGGGCGUAAAGCGUCUGUAGGUGGCUUUUCAAGUCCGCCGUCAAAUCCCAGGGCUCAACCCUGGACAGGCGGUGGAAACUACCAAGCUGGAGUACGGUAGGGGCAGAGGGAAUUUCCGGUGGAGCGGUGAAAUGCAUUGAGAUCGGAAAGAACACCAACGCGAACACUCUGCUGGGCCGACACUGACACUAGAGAC